AUGCCGUUGUCAGUCAUUAACGGA
rnacentral:siRNA from 1 species